UAUUGGAUUUAUUUUUCUAUGAAGAUGACAAUGAUGCUGAAUAUAUUGCACAAGCUAUUCGAGAACGACACAUUGAAAUACAAAUGUAUUAUGAACAUGUUAUUAUGGGAUAUUCAUUAAAUGAUAAGUAUAAUAUAAAGAUUAUUUAGUAAAGCAAUUCUCAUAAAAAGUAGUUAACCAUUAUAUUAAUUUUAAUAAAAAUUUUAUCAAGAAGUAUUCUAAAAAAUAAUAUCAAAUGCACGGCAAGUGAUGUUCUUAAUAAUAGUCUUUGAUAAUAAUUCGUUUUGUUUUUAUUAGUAUUAAUUCUGACAAUAAAUAAUUAUAAUGGAAUAUGUUCGUGUAUACUAAUAUUGAAUUUAUUACAAUUAACAUUUCCAGACGCAUUUCCGAGUAACAAGGAAUGUAUUCGAACAACUAGUUCAACUAUUUGGACCAAACUUACAUCGUGAUAUAGAUCGUGAAAAAAUAUCCCCAGAAAAAAAAUUGCCAUAGCUUUGUGGUUCUAUGGAAAUCAAGAAGUGUACAGUUUCAGAUCAAUAGCAGAUUCGGAGUUUCAAAAGACACUGUUUGGAGAUCGAUUUUUAAAGUAACUGAGGUGGUGGCAUCUAACGCACGUCAUUUUAUUAAGUGGCCCACGAUAGAUCAAAUGGCAAAUAUAGAGGAAGAAUUUUAUAAAAUUACUGGUUUUCUUGGGGUCAUAGGAGCCAUUGACGGUUGCUACAUUCAAAUAAGUGCUCCAACACAAGACACAAAUAGCUAUAUUAAUCGAAAGAAUUAUUUUUCCAUCUUACUGCAAGACAUUUGUGACUAUACACUAAAAUUUACGGACGUUUUUAUUGGAAUAUGUGGCAGCGUACAUGAUGCAAGAGUAUGGGAAUUGAGCGAUAUAAAAAGAUGUAUCAGAGCAGAUGAUUAUAGGCAUUUUCAACAUUUUUACCAUCUAAUGACUGAUAGUGCUUAUCCAUUAUCGAACAGAAUGCUCACACGCUAUCGCGAUAACGGUCACCUUAAUCCGAUACAAAUCAGUUAUAAUAGAAAACAUGCUAAGACUCGCGUAUUAAUAGAACUUGCUUUUGUAAUGUUAACAGGGCGAUUUA